AUAUAUAUACACACACACACACAUAUAGCUAAUUAAAUCAAAACCAUGCACAUAAAUUAGAGAUCCGAGUCCCAUGGCUUUGUGGUGUCACUGGAGUCCUUGAAGACACAUUCACUGUAACCUUGCGUUAGUAACUCAUGUAUACAGACACAUACACCUGUUGGGAUGAUACUAUUUCAGGCUGUGAACAUACCUAAGCAACCACGUCUUCUAUGUGCUAGCCGAGCGAGAGUUAGUGAACAUGCAGCCUAGGGAGGUCACCAGCACUUGUUUUUGCACUUCGGGGCAGCCAAAAUAAAACCAUGUCUACCUGCCGUGAUUGCGUGUGACGGAAGAGGUUCAUUUAUCCUGCAUCAAAUAGUUUCACAGCAAAAGACUUGGAAUGAAGGAAAAAGCAGUGUCUGAAAAACUAGCAUAAAGUUAUGCAGCGGAGCAUUUUGGAUAUCUGGCUGUAUAGUAAGAAGAUAUAGUAGGGUGUAUCUACCAUUAAUCAGUGUUACUUAAAACCCCUCUAGUGCCACACCAGGCUGUAUUAACGGAAGCGCAGGUAAAGCUGAUCCACUCCAUGGUGUAAAUAAGCGAGUGCCUGCCUGAGCGUACACAUUUCGUCUCAGAAACACAACAGUAAGCGUUAUUGAGCCCAAAUCUAUUCUGUGUGUGCGCAGGCUGGAAAUUCACUUAUACCAUGGAGCGGAUCAGCUUUUCCUCCGCUUGCAUUUUUACAGCCUGGUGUGGCAUCAGCCAAACAGAUUCAUAGCUCUGCCUUGGGGGGCUUUUUAUUUUAACCAGUUAAUGUCCUUACUUGUAUACUUGCCCUGUAUUUCUGUUGCAUAAAUAUGGCUCCCCCACUUCUAACAAGUCUUCUAACUCCCUCCAUACACAAAUCAAGCUGUGCCUGGCUGCCUGCACCCUUCCUAACAAAUUUGUAUCCUCCUAGGAACCCCCUUGUGCCAAAUACCGAUAAUGCAUUUUACUGGGUCUCGUUAACCUUCUGAAACUAGCUCAGAAUAUCCUGACUUCCCAAACUGUGGCAUACAUUAAUGGAAUGGAGGCAUCCACCCCUCCACUCAUUGUGAUGGCUCAAAGGGCAAAGCAUUCCAAGCAUAUUCGGAAGCAGAAAGAAUAUAACCCAGUGUGCUUAAUGCCGAUCUGCAGCUAUUGGCCAGAGUAUAUCAUAGAGUUACUAAGGGUGAUGUUAUGUGAGUGCAGCCUUGGUAUUUCUCCAGCGUUAGAGCUCAUGGACAUGAGAACCUGAUCCAUUCAAAAUGAUUGUGGAUAGAAAUGGUCUUGUGCAGCAUUAAUGGAGAAUCAAGCAGCCAAGUGGGGUGGAAAUGUUGAGCAGAUGAGCAGGGACCUGCCACCAAGUGUAUUGGACUCCCCUGUACCUGGGGCUCCCCUAAAGCCGAGCCUUGAUCUGAAUGAUAAGGGUGCUGUAACUGGAGGAAAAGGAAGGGUGUUUGCAUUAUGCUGUGGUAUGCAGAGUAUAAGAGUAUGUAUGUAUGUAGUAUAUCAGUUGUGUAUUGCCUACAGAUGAGCUUGUUGCCUAUACACACUGGGAUUUGGGUUGGUUUGGCCAGAUUACAAUGCCCAGAAAAACACAAAAACUGUGGUCUGCAAAAUAUAUUUUAUCAUAAGUGAGAGAGCCAUGCAAUGGGAAGCAUUGGGAAGUAUUGGGAAGCAUGGUGUUCCAUUGAGACCAUGAUGACCUGUAUGUGAAUCAUGGUACUUAGUAUCCCCCCAACCUCCAGUGUCUACUGUCUGAGAAAGCUUAAUUUAUCCACAAAUUCCCAUAUUUUCUAUGCCCUAUAAGUAUAAUACACCCACAGUGUCAGGGACCUUAUAUCCCCCCCCCCCCCGUGCAAGGCUGUCUGGUGUCGCUUGCUAUUGGCCAAGGCAUGUGAAUGUGCAGUGGUUCUAUGGAACGGAUUGGUACAUUAAUGCUGCUACUGACUAUUUUACCACUAUCUUACUAACCCAUAGAUUGAAUUAUUAGCCCCAUCCAUCUAAGUGCUCCACUAGGGCCGGGGGUGGGGUUCAUAUAUGUAUAUUUGUGUAUUAAGGAAGAGCUAGGGUUUUUUUUUUUUUGUAAAUAAAGUGAUAAAAAGACAAAAAAAGUAAUGAAAUAAUUGUGCCUAACAAUUUUUUUUUUAAUUGUAAUAUUAUGUCUUUAUUUAUUGGUGCUUUGAUUUGUAAUUGUAAAAAGAUACAAAAAAAAAGUCAUUAACACUUUCUUUUAAGAUUAUCCUCUAGAAAUAUUUAUUUUUAAACUAAAGUAUAAAUAUAUCAUUGAAAAGUU